rnacentral:lncRNA from 1 species
AGGUUCGAACCUGCGGAGUCACACACAUUAGAGGUUCCUAUCUGAUCUGAUGGCUGGUGAAGAGUCCCACUGGACUGGAACUCUUCGACCAAGAGUCCUAAUGCUCAGGGACUCUGAGUCCUACAUUUCUGAGACUCUGUGAUCGAGAAUCAGGAUUCUCUGAUCAUGAGUUUCACACAUUUUGGGUACCGGGGUCAAGAGUCCCACUGGUUUGGGACUCUUCGAUCAAGGUUUCAUAUUGAUGGACUUUGAUGUCCGAUUGCCCAUCGAAUUUGGACUCAGUAUUUAUGAGAAGUUUUAUUAGUAAUUUGAUCACUAAUUAACUCAAUUUGAUUAAGUAAUUAUUUUUAGAUUAAGUCCAAUUGAAUUGGAUUCAGUUGGGUUUGACCCGAUUAGGUUAAGAGUUGACCUAAUCGUCGAGGUGGUUUG